AUUGAACGCUGGCGGCAGGCCUAACACAUGCAAGUCGAACGGAUCCUUCGGGAUUAGUGGCGGACGGGUGAGUAACGCGUGGGAACAUACCCUUUGGUACGGAAUAGCCUCGGGAAACUGGGAGUAAUACCGUAUGUGGUCGAGAGACGAAAGAUUUAUCGCCAAAGGAUUGGCCCGCGUUGGAUUAGGCAGUUGGUGGGGUAAUGGCCUACCAAGCCGACGAUCCAUAGCUGGUUUGAGAGGAUGAUCAGCCACACUGGGACUGAGACACGGCCCAGACUCCUACGGGAGGCAGCAGUGGGGAAUCUUAGACAAUGGGGGAAACCCUGAUCUAGCCAUGCCGCGUGAUCGAUGAAGGCCUUAGGGUUGUAAAGAUCUUUCAGGUGGGAAGAUAAUGACUGUACCACCAGAAGAAGCCCCGGCUAACUCCGUGCCAGCCGCCGCGGUAA
rnacentral:rRNA from 1 species